ACCCUACGGGAGGCAGCAGUGAGGAAUAUUGGUCAAUGGCCGCAGGGCUGAACCAGCCAAGUCGCGUGAGGGAUGACGGUCCUAUGGAUUGUAAACCUCUUUUGUCAGGGAGCAAAGGGCGCCACGUGUGGCGCUUUGCGAGUACCUGAAGAAAAAGCAUCGGCUAACUCCGUGCCAGCAGCCGCGGUAAUACGGAGGAUGCGAGCGUUAUCCGGAUUUAUUGGGUUUAAAGGGAGCGUAGGUGGAUUGUUAAGUCAGCUGUGAAAGUUUGCGGCUCAACCGUAAAAUUGCAGUUGAAACUGGCA
rnacentral:rRNA from 1 species